rnacentral:rRNA from 1 species
AACGAACGCUGGCGGCAGGCUUAACACAUGCAAGUCGAACGCAUCGCAAGAUGAGUGGCAGACGGGUGAGUAACGCGUGGGAACAUACCCUUUUCUACGGAAUAGCUCUGGGAAACUAGAAUUAAUACCGUAUACGCCCUUUACUGGUGGACAGUAUCGGGGAAAGAUUUAUCGGGGAAGGAUUGGCCCGCGUUGGAUUAGCUAGUUGGUGGGGUAACGGCCUACCAAGGCGACGAUCCAUAGCUGGUCUGCGAGGAUGAUCAGCCACAUUGGGACUGAGACACGGCCCAAACUCCUACGGGAGGCAGCAGUGGGGAAUAUUGGACAAUGGGCGCAAGCCUGAUCCAGCCAUGCCGCGUGAGUGAUGAAGGCCUUAGGGUUGUAAAGCUCUUUCACCGAUGAAGAUAAUGACGGUAGUCGGAGAAGAAGCCCCGGCUAACUUCGUGCCAGCCGCCGCGGUAA